AGAGAGGACUAGGCUGUGGUGAGAGAGACUACUGUCUCUAGGCUUUAUAACCGAGCCACCACGACCAAACCAAAAUGUCGUCUCUGUCUCUGACACAGUGUGUCAUCAGGGAAGUAAACACCUCGUUAUAUAUAUAGAAAACAAAACAAACGCCAAAUGGGGAUUUUAUUUUCGUAUAUUGUACCGUCUCUGUUUAGUCGUAUGUUUACUACAUAAAAAUAAUACAUAUUGAUGCAUUAAAUGCACCUCUGAGACUAUGUAUAUAUUUCCUAAUAUUAGGCCUAUUAAUAUUUAUUGCUCUGAAAGAAACAAAGCAGAUUUUAUUUUGAAGUCAAAUAUAGAAACAUCUGGUACUACCCCUCCUCUCAGGUCCAUGAGUACAGAACUACCCCUCCUCUCAGGUCCAUGAGAAGAACAGAACUACUCCUCCUCUCAGGUCCAUGAGAAGAACAGAACUACCCCUCCUCUCAGGUCCAUGAGAAGAACAGAACUACCCCUCCUCUCAGGUCCAUGAGAACAGAACUACCCCUCCUCUCAGGUCCAUGAGAACAGAACUACCCCUCCUCUCAGGUCCAUGAGAACAGAACUACCCCUCCUCUCAGGUCCAUGAGAACAGAACUACUCCUCCUCUCAGGUCCAUGAGAACAGAACUACCCCUCCUCUCAGGUCCAUGAGAACAGAACUACCCCUCCUCUCAGGUCCAUGAGUACAGAACUACCCCUCCUCUCAGGUCCAUGAGAAGAACAGAACUACUCCUCCUCUCAGGUCCAUGAGAAGAACAGAACUACCCCUCCUCUCAGGUCCAUGAGAACAGAACUACCCCUCCUCUCAGGUCCAUGAGAAGAACAGAACUACCCCUCCUCUCAGGUCCAUGAGAACAGAACUACCCCUCCUCUCAGGUCCAUGAGAAGAACAGAACUACCCCUCCUCUCAGGUCCAUGAGAACAGAACUACCCCUCCUCUCAGGUCCAUGAGAAGAACAGAACUACCCCUCCUCUCAGGUCCAUGAGAAGAACAGAACUACCCCUCCUCUCAGGUCCAUGAGAACAGAACUACCCCUCCUCUCAGGUCCAUGAGAACAGAACUACCCCUCCUCUCAGGUCCAUGAGAAGAACAGGAGACAGAAAGAGACAGACUGGGAACAUUACAUGUCCAGGCUUUGACUGACAGAGGACUGGAAGGGACCCGUUGGGACUAACUCGUUAUCAUGCUAUUGAAGGACAACAACAGCCUUGACUGCCACCAAUAAAUAUAACAAUAUUUUUUAUUUAUUUACAAUAAACUUUUGAAAUAAUUAUAUACACAUCCGGCAACAUUGGAGUACCAGAUGAGGACCGGGGAAGAGACAGAACCAGAACCAGAACCAGGAGACAAUAACAGAAGGACGUCGCCGCCCCAAACCCACACCGAGACAAAGAGGCAGCCCAGAAUCCCCACGUCAGGACAUGCCAAGAAGGCUCCUCUCGACCUGGACAGACAAGACAACCAUGUAUUCUGCAACAGCAGUAUUGGAUCAGGACAGACAGACAGACGGACCGGACGGCCCAAGGAUCUGCCCCGACCACCACCCUUCUGAUCAGGACAGACAGACAGACGGACGGCCCAAGGAUCUGAUCAGGACAGACAGACAGACGGACGGCCUAAGGAUCUGAUCAGGACAGACAGACAGACAGACGGCCUAAGGAUCUGAUCAGGACAGACAGACAGACGGCCUAAGGAUCUGAUCAGGACAGACAGACAGAUGGCUGUCCCAACCACCACCCUUCUGGAAACCUGUGCCUUUAACCAACUCCAUCACAUCCAUUUUGCUUUUGUUUUCUGAUUGUUGUCCAAUUUUGGGUUGGAGCUCUGCUACUGGAUGCAUCUCCCGUACUGUCCUGCCCUCUAGUGGACAACUGGAUACAUCUUCCGUACUGUCCUGCCCCCUGGUGGACAACAGGAUACAUCUCCCGUACUGUCCUGCCCCCUGGUGGACAAGAGGAUACAUCUCCCGUACUGUCCUGCCCUCUAGUGGACAACAGGAUACAUCUCCCGUACUGUCCUGCCCCCUAGUGGACAACUGGAUACAUCUCCCGUACUGUCCUGCCCCCUGGUGGACAACAGGAUACAUCUCCCGUACUGUCCUGCCCUCUAGUGGACAACUGGAUACAUCUUCCGUACUGUCCUGCCCCCUGGUGGACAACAGGAUACAUCUCCCGUACUGUCCUGCCCUCUAGUGGACAACAGGAUACAUCUCCCGUACUGUCCUGCCCCCUGGUGGACAACUGGAUACAUCUCCCGUACUGUCCUGCCCCCUGGUGGACAACUGGAUACAUCUCCCGUACUGUCCUGCCCUCUGGUGGACAACUGGAUAUAUCUCCCGCACUGUCCUGCCCCCUGAUGGACAACAGGAUACAUCUCCCGUACUGUCCUGCCCCCUGGUGGACAACUGGAUACAUCUCCCGUACUGUCCUGCCCCCUGGUGGACAACUGGAUACAUCUCCCGUACUGUCCUGCCCCCUGGUGGACAACAGGAUACAUCUCCCGUACUGUCCUGCCCCCUAGUGGACAACUGGAUACAUCUCCCGUACUGUCCUGCCCCCUAGUGGACAACUGGAUACAUCUCCCGUACUGUCCUGCCCCCUAGUGGACAACUGGAUACAUCUCCCGUAC
rnacentral:lncRNA from 1 species